rnacentral:rRNA from 1 species
AGGAUUCUCCUAGUAGCGGCGAGCGAACGGAGAUUAGCCCAUCACCGAAGUCCGGUGCUCUUGCAUGCAGGACAAUGUGGUGUUAAGGUUUACGCCUGGGUCUAUGUACCUACUUGAAGUCCAACUCCGAUUGUGGCAUUGGAUAUUCCCCAGAGCGGGUGAAAGGCCCCUCCAAGUAGGAUGUUGCAUAUUUACAUAGGCCUCAGAUGCGUAAGCUAUCGAGUCGGAUUGCUUGAGAAUGCAGUCCAAAGUGGGUGGUAAACUCCAUCCAAGGCUAAAUACUGGCACGAGUCCGAUAGUAGACAAGUACCGUGAGGGAAAGUUGAAAAGUACUCUGAAGAGAGAGUAAAUAGUACGUGAAGCCGUUUGCAGGGAAGCUGGUGGAGUCAAGCUUCGUGCUGAAUGAAUUGUCACUAGUACUGGUGAUUUUGUAUAAUAAACGCACAACUUGUCAAUAUGGAAAGUAUUGGGCGCAUUCGUGUGCUUCAAGACAUUCCGGGUGGUUUGUUUGGGCUUGUUGUUGCGUUUUGGUACUAGUUAUCUAUUUGUUCGUUGCACAAAUCACAGUCAGUGAUAGUGCCCUAUGCGAUUAUCUAACGGUGCUUUGAUGGGCUUCUAGUCUGUCAGGUGCUGUAUGGCAGGUCUUGGUCACGAGUUUUUCGCUCGUUGAUCCGUUAUAGUGGUUUUGACCAGCUGAUUCUCGUGUAGUGUCACCGUCACUGUACUUGAAUGGUACGUAGUUGUUAAACUAUGUGCUAGUGAGAACUGUGAUUCUGAUGUAGA